UUCCCAUUGCGGCAGGCUUAAACAUGCAAGUCGAGGGGUAACAGGAAAAAGCUUGCUUUUUUGCUGACGACCGGCGAACGGGUGCGUAACGCGUAUAGAAUCUGCCUUGUACAGGAGGAUAGCCUUUAAAAAUGAAGAUUAAUACUCCAUAAUGUUGAGAGAUGGCAUCAUUUUUUAAUUAAAGAUUUAUCGGUACAAGAUGACUAUGCGUCCUAUUAGCUAGAUGGUAAGGUAACGGCUUACCAUGGCAACGAUAGGUAGGGGGUCUGAGAGGAUUAUCCCCCACACUGGUACUGAGACACGGACCAGACUCCUACGGGAGGCAGCAGUGAGGAAUAUUGGUCAAUGGAGGCAACUCUGAACCAGCCAUGCCGCGUGCAGGAAGACUGCCCUAUGGGUUGUAAACUGCUUUUAUACAGGAAGAAACUUAUUUACGUGUAACUAACUGACGGUACUGUAAGAAUAAGCACCGGCUAACUCCGUGCCAGCAGCCGCGGUAAUACGGAGGGUGCAAGCGUUAUCCGGAAUCAUUGGGUUUAAAGGGUCCGCAGGCGGUCAAUUAAGUCAAAGGUGAAAUCCCAUAGCUUAACUAUGGAACUGCCUUUGAUACUGGUUGACUUGAGUUAUACGGAAGUAGAUAGAAUAAGUAGUGUAGCGGUGAAAUGCAUAGAUAUUACUUACAAUACCGAUUGCGAAGGCAGUCUACUACGUAUAUACUGACGCUCAUGGACGAGAGCGUGGGGAGCGAACAGGAUUAGAUACCCUGGUAGUCCACGCCGUAAACGAUGGACACUAGUUGUUGGGAUUUAUCUCAGUGACUAAGCGAAAGUGAUAAGUGUCCCACCUGGGGAGUACGAUCGCAAGAUUGAAACUCAAAGGAAUUGACCGGGGCCCGCACAAGCGGUGGAGCAUGUGGUUUAUUUCAAUGAUACACGAGGAACCUUACCAAGGCUUAAUGUAGAGUGACAGGGGUAGAGAUACUUUUUUCUUCGGACACUUU
rnacentral:rRNA from 1 species